UAGUGGAAUAUGACAACGGCCAUCUUUCACGCAAAAAAGAAUCUGAGCUGAAAGCCUUGCAGAGGAUGCUCUGCCCGGAAAAACAUCGCUUGGAAAAGUUCCUGACUGACACAAAAGGAUUCGAUUGCAACGUCUGUAAACGGAUAAAUCUUCCUGAGGGGCACGAAAUGUACGGCUGUCGAAU
rnacentral:ribozyme from 1 species